UAAUUCGUCGUAAAACCAAAA
ensembl:piRNA 21ur-3424 ncRNA